AUGAUGUGGUUUAAUUCGAUGCAACGCGAAGAACCUUACCUACUCUUGACAUCCAGAGAACUUUCCAGAGAUGGAUUGGUGCCUUCGGGAACUCUGAGACAGGUGCUGCAUGGCUGUCGUCAGCUCGUGUUGUGAAAUGUUGGGUUAAGUCCCGCAACGAGCGCAACCCUUAUCCUUUGUUGCCAGCGGUUCGGCCGGGAACUCAAAGGAGACUGCCAGUGAUAAACUGGAGGAAGGUGGGAUGACGUCAAGUCAUCAUGGCCCUUACGAGUAGGGCUACACACGUGCUACAAUGGCAUAUACAAAGAGAAGCGACCUCGCGAGAGCAAGCGGACCUCAUAAAGUAUGUCGUAGUCCGGAUUGGAGUCUGCAACUCGACUCCAUGAAGUCGGAAUCGCUAGUAAUCGUAGAUCAGAAUGCUACGGUGAAUACGUUCCCGGGCCUU
rnacentral:rRNA from 1 species